rnacentral:rRNA from 1 species
UACAGAGGUCCCAAGCGUUGUUCGGAUUCACUGGGCGUAAAGGGUGCGUAGGUGGCUUUGCAAGUCUGAUGUGAAAUCUCCGGGCCCAACCCGGAAAUGGCAUUAGAAACUGUGGGGCUAGAGGCUUGGAGGGGGGAACUGGAAUGCUCGGUGUAGCAGUGAAAUGCGUAGAGAUCGAGCGGAACACCAGUGGCGAAGGCGAGUUCCUGGACAAGUCCUGACACUGAGGCACGAAAGCUAGGGGGAGCAAACAGG